AAAAAAACUGACUGUAAGUCAUGUGGUAAAGAACUAUCAAGGCGGAGGGCACAGCUGGUGAAGAAACCUGCUCAGUGAACUUGAGGAGUAGCAAGGAGGCUCCUUUAAGGAAUGACACAAGGAUCCCCUAUGUUUUGGAGAUGCGGCUUGCUGAGAGACUUCAACUGUCAGUUCUAUGAAGAGAAUGUCUCAUCUGAAGAGAACCACCUUGCCCAAGGUUCAGCUGCUUUCUGAAGCAACUUGCAUCUAAUGCCUCAUUGAAAGAAAGGAAUUCAUCCCAAAGUCACUUCCCCACACACUUAAAACACACUUCAACUGAAUCUGUAUCUCAAGAUCUGCUCCCCUGGAAACACAGCCUAUGACAAUAAAAAGGGAAUAAUUAUCUUACAGUUGGACAUAGGUCUAUACACUUUUAGGACCAAGAGUUACAUUGGACAUGUGAAUCAGAAGUUCGCACAUAACAAUUGGAACUCAUUUGAUCAGUUUAAAUACAGUAAUUUAGGGGUGAAUGUAAAUAGGAAGACAAAGAAAAAUCUGAGGAAAUUGUGGUGUACUGGAAGUAAACCAAAUAAGUCUCUGAUAAAGAGAAAAUUAUCAGUUUUGUUACAUUUUGCUGAGGAGUAGAAUGAAAAGAGAGAAUGGUUUGUCAAUGGAAUGGUUAUUGAGGUUUCAAAGGUAGUCAUUUUGUUGAAUUAAUCCAACUGAAAUCCUGGUUAAAAAAAAAUAUAUAUAUAUAUAUAUAUAUAGAGAGAGAGAGAGAGAGAGAGAGAGAGAGAGAGAGAGAGAGAAAGAAAACUAAGAAAAAUGACUACAAUUUUCUCCAGUCAGUCUGAAGAACAAAUGUGAGAAGUCUUUUGCAGUGAAAGGAAGCAGAGAAUUGGGGAAACAGCAAGAAGAGAUCAAAGGAGACUUUGUUGUUGCUAUAGUUUUAAUUACAAGUUAUCAUAGCAGAUUGAAACCCUGUGGAAAUGAUUAGAUAGGGUAAAAAUUUCUUAUGAUGCAGAAGACAAGAAGGCAAUAUUGGUUCUUGAAAAGACCACAGUUGACAUCAGUAGGAUCCUGUAGAGUGUGACCAGGGUUAGCACUAAGGCUUCAAUGAAAAUACGGAGCAUGAGAGAUGCUCAAAAUAAAGCUCUUCUCUUUUCCACUGAAUUUCCACCUCUGGCCUGAGGGACAGUCACAAAUUCUCAUGUAAGUACAUCUGCCCAAACAGCCACAGGACCUCUGCUCUAAGUCAUAUUAGAAAAUACUAUUUUCACCUAUUAAUUUAAGUCUUAAUUAUUUUCAGAAAGAACUUGAAAAUAUGGCUUUAUGUCUAUAUCUCAAGGUUUCUAAGCCAUCUCUCCUCUUGAGUGGAAAAUAAAAUUCACCUAUUCACUUAAGAUAUAAACUAGAAACAGAAAUAAAUCCUAGAUCCAUUAAAGCAUUUAAGUCACAGCCUAUGUAUCUCCUAGGGUUAAAUAUUAUAUUUUUUAUGUUUCUUUUCUGUUUAGAGAAGGAAGGAGCAAGAAAAAAAUAUUUAGGAGUUAAUUAUUUCAGUUGUUACCAACAUUCAUCUUUCUCUAACUUCCUUAACAUUUCCCUGACGAUGGCUAUGAGCACAUUAUUGUCGGUGGAAACUUUACACAAGACUAAGUUAUUCUUUGGGAAGGGGAAGGUACUUACAUAUGAAAAGAAAAUACACAAACAUAUGUUUUCCUCACUGUUAACAGCUUUAUAUACUUCGAAGAUGAAAAGUAAUUCCUAGAUAAUACACAUUCCAUAGUGUCACAAGGGAUUUUGUCCCAUGGUGAUCAAACUUUUUUAAACUUAAAUCAAAAUGUUGCUUUAAAGAACAAAUAUUUUCUCUAUGAAUGUCAUUUAAUUUUUUGUAAGGACCAAAUGAUUGGACUUUUUCUCUCCCAUCUACUCCCCUAUUAAUUCAGUACAGAAGAUAAAUUAUGGUUUAGAAUUGCAUAAUCAAUAUCAGUGUCAUGUAUUUCAACAGGAAGACUUUUCUUAUUCACAUUUAUCCAAAGCAAGAUAACCUACUAAAUUAGAAUAAAUCAUACAUUAUAUAAUUAAUAUGUGAAAUAAGAAUCUUAUAGUACAAUCUGCAGUGUUCACUUAUACAGUAACACCUUAAAGAACUAAUAUGCUCAGAGAGAAGCACCUUUGAUCGCAGAAGAGUGAAUCUCCAAAUAAAGUAUUGUAUUCAAAGUGAUUCCCUAAUAUAACUGAUACUGUCAGUUCAGGAGUGAGAUUCAUGAUCACUGUAUCUGUACAGUAGUAAAACAUUCAUGAAUCAAAUUCCUGUAUCAUUUUUCAGAGCAAAAGUACAUCCUAAUUUAUAAAAAAAGAAAAAGAAAGAAAAAGGAGAAAGACCCCCUGAAAUUUCUAGAACAUUUCAAAGAUGUCAGAAAAACAAACCAGCACCCCUGACUGAACCUGUGAAUGAACAGGGACAUGCUAUAAGACAGCUUUCAUUUAAUUCAAACAGUUCUGGAAAAGGAUCAAUUUUGUAGUGAGAUUAAAGCAGUGGGAACUAAAAAUAAUAAUAAUUCCUUGAGGCUUCUAGGUUAAAUUCUACAGCUUUUGGAGUUAUUUUAAAAAAAUGACUGGAAAGUAUAAAAAUGAAAAGAAAACACACAUUGCAAACUGACAAAACAUCUGUUUACCCUGAUACCCAAGUAGUACACUGUUUUUUCAUCAAGUAACCAGAGGUGGCCAAUCCCCAACUUCUUGGUCUGCGUCUCACUUUUCUCUAUUUCUCAUGUUAUUUGUCUCUGAGCCAUUUAACCUGCUAUUGUAGUUUCCAGCAAGGAGAAACCAGGAAAAGGAAAAAGAAUCAAACUAUCACAGCUAGCCCAUUCACUGAUAGAUGGAACCAGAAUUUUAAACCAGAGGGGAUAUAUAGUUUUCCUAAUGUCAAAUAGACAUUAUCCAUAUAAUACUUUUCAUUGCUUUUGUAAAGAAUCAUGAAGCAAACAUAAGAAAGUAAAAUCAAGACUGAUUUUUUAUUUAUUAGACAGAAAAGUAAUGAUCAGCCAUCCAGGUAGAUGUAUUCUAUUAUUGAGAGAAUUAUUGGCUUGUCUGAGAAAAACUGAGGAACUAAGACAGUGAUGGCAAACAGUUUAGAGAUGAGGGCCCAAACUGCAACACAAAACCCACUUACUUAUCACAAAGUGCCAACAUUGCGAUUAAACCUGGAUACUGAGGUUUUAGUUUAGAAAAAACAACUCAUACACUAACAUCCUUUUUGUCUUAAAAGCCAAACAAAUGACACACAUUCCAUAGGUUUUUCACCCUUGAACUAACCAAACCUCCAUCACCAGGAAAGGAAGUACUGAAUAAUAGUAGUUAGUACAUAGACCCUAAGGGCAGAUGGCUUGCCUUGGUAUUCAAAAUCUGCACCAAGUUUUUAUUAGACAUUGAAAAAGUUACCUUACACUCUGAUUAGGAACAUUAAAGAAAAGGAAAUUUCAAGUGGUUAGUGCAGUCUUAUACACUACCCACAAGUGGGUAUAUGUAGUCUUGUCUUAUAAUAGUUCUUGAUUAAAAUCAGAUAUCAAUGAUGUCAUUGUUAACAUUGAUUUCCUCCUCAUCUGUAUCUUGGGCUUCCAAAAUAUCAUUUUAUUUUCUAAAUUGCAAGUGGCCAAUUUUCUCAGUGGAAUGUGUAAGAAUCAAAAAGGGGUGAACAUAUUUUAUGUAAUGUAUCCAUUUCCAAUUAUUCUCUGACAUUUCACUUUCUUGUUCAUUAUUCCAAUUGCCCAGUACUUUCUUGCUCACUUUAAAAAUCCCAGUUCUAUUAGGGGUUUACAGAAAAGCAACAACAUUGAUUUUUCCUCAUCCACAAAAAAGACAAAAAUAACUACCCUUACUUUCUUUUUCAUUUGAAGUACUAUGUAGUUUACAUUUUAUCUCUUGUAUUCUCCUCUUCCCAACCCCAACAAAAAUCUCCAUAGACAAUAAGUUUAGUUUCCUAAACUUUUAAUUUUUUUAUAUCCA